AAGAUAUAUAAGAAAAGCAUUCAUAACCUGCUUGCAUUAUCUCCUCCCCAGUUUUUUUGUCAGCAGUCUCCAGUUCUUUCAGACGUUGUUCUGCAUUGAUUUCCAGACUAAAGUUUGCAGCUAUGCCUUCUCCUGGUUUGCAAACAACUUCUGAUUCUAUCCGAAGUCAUGAUGCAGAUCAUGGAAAGUAUGCUGAUGUGAACUGGGAUGAACUUGAAUUUGGAGUAGUUCCAACUGAUUACAUGUACACCAUGAAGUGUUCCAAAGGAGAUGAGUUUUCACAAGGCCAUCUAACUCCCUAUGGAAACAUUGAGCUCAGCCCAUCUGCUGGUGUUUUGAAUUACG